GAAUUAAAAGAAGAAAAGGAAUCUGAAGGAAAGAGAGGACCGAGAGAGAGAGAGAGAGAGAGAGCUGGCUGCUGGACAACGAAAAAACGGGAAGAAAAAAUUGAAGAACUCAAGAUAGAAUAACAAAGGAAGGAAAGGAAACUUAAGAAUUUCAACCAAUUAAAACUUAAGGUCAGAUGUCUCACCCUAGCCAAGGAAUUCAGGGAGCCAACUGUGAUCAAGUGCGUGAUCAAGGUUAGAGGUGUUUGCCUGGAAUAUGUUUUUGUCAACCAACCUAUGCGCCUCUUAUGGAGGUUCCAAAUAUGUCAAGUGGUCAAGGCUAAGUGAUUAAAGUUUAAAUUUUUGUUUAUUCUGGGGUAAAUCCCUUUUGUCUCAUCAGUAUAUAUGAUGAUGCAGGAAUGAUGUGAUAAUAUAUGUAUAUAAAAAGUUUAAAUUUUUUCUGUCUCAUAUAAGUCUGCACAGCUCAAUGGACAAUACAUGUUUGUAUUUUGCUUCCGCUAGCCCCUAAUAUUAUG